ACAGAAAGAUUACACUUAGCUUAGAAUUUGUCAAAGCAUGAAGGUGUUAUCCAUUAACUGGAUGAGUCAAAUGAUGAUGCGAGGGAAAACCUUCAACCGUGAGUGAAAGCAGUCAUCUGAGUGGCUGUUAGUAUUGUCUGAGGGCUGAGAAAUGACUCCCUUUUGUUCUUAGGUAGACAUGCAGAAACAAACAAAAUGAAGUGACAGUUUGUUUCACCUCUUGGUGAUGCAAAGAAACCACAUUGUGAGUUCGGUGGACAGCAAAUUAUUUGACUCGUACAAUAAAGUUUAAUAAACCUGGCUGUUGUAGAGGAAACUCAAGACUUUAACAAUAGCAACGAGAACAACAGCAGCAACAGCAGGACUUUCUUGGUGUUCCUGGCCUUCUGCCUGACGUCCAGAGUUGCCUGCAUUCUGACAAGACAGAAUGGCUCACCUAGCUUCAGAACAACAGCAGAGGUGCCAACACAAAGUAGACCAGAUACGCUGUCCAAAACACCCCUCCAUGGUUAUUCCAAACCAGGACUAAGCCAGGAGGUGUUCCAAAAAUAUAUCACUAUAUUUUGGCCUGAGUGUCACUUCCCCACUUGGCAAGCUAGGGCUAGAGAAAUUGGAACAGAGAUUUCAUGGUAGCCUGUCUUAUAUCCUCUCCUCUCAGAUAUACAUCUUUGACUUGUCCCAUCUCCAAUGACACAGUUGCCCCAGCUUUUAUAAUUAUUUGUACAUACCAGAAAGGAGCAGAAGCUGUACAUUUUGUCUCCAAACUUCUCCAAAAUAAUUUCAGCCAAACGGUUCUCUUCACACUAAAAUGUUUUCAAGUGAAUAAAUGACCAACUGAAUGAA